rnacentral:rRNA from 1 species
UACAGAGGGUGCGAGCGUUAAUCGGAAUUACUGGGCGUAAAGCGUGCGUAGACGGUUAUUUAAGUCAGGUGUGAAAGCCCCGGGCUCAACCUGGGAACUGCAUCCGAUACUGGAUGGCUUGAAUCCGGGAGAGGGAUGCAGAAUUCCAGGUGUAGCGGUGAAAUGCGUAGAUAUCUGGAGGAACACCGAUGGCGAAGGCAGCCCCCUGGGUCAAGACUGACGCUCAUGCACGAAAGCGUGGGGAGCAAACAGG